rnacentral:rRNA from 1 species
UACGAAGGGAGCUAGCGUUGUUCGGAAUCACUGGGCGUAAAGCGCACGUAGGCGGAUUUGUCAGUCAGGGGUGAAAUCCCGGGGCUCAACCUCGGGACUGCCUUUGAUACAGCAAGUCUUGAGUUCGAGAGAGGUGGGUGGAAUUCCUAGUGUAGAGGUGAAAUUCGUAGAUAUUAGGAAGAACACCGGUGGCGAAGGCGGCAUCCUGGACCAACACUGACGCUGAGUGAGCGAAAGCGUGGGGAGCGAACAGG